GCGCGUCCAAAAGGCUGGUCCUGUCUGGGAACGGCGGGAGGUUGAAAGGUGGUAGAUACAGCAAUCGGUACCAACCACUUAAGAGUAGUACAGGGGCGGGGAGGGCGGCAGAAGGCUGUCCUCUGGUUGAUGCCCCGCGUUGGGACCACGUGAUUAGAGCGGUCCCGCCCUCCUCCCCCGGAACCAGGUGUUCGAAUCCCGUCUCCAGAACUAGCAGCAUCUCAGUCCUACCGGCGUGAGGCGCCAGAGGAACCGCCCUGCGGCUCAUGGCAGCGCCCGUCCGGCUGGGCCGGAAACGCCCGCUGCCUGUUUGCCCCAACCCUCUCUUCGUACGCUGGCUAACCGAGUGGCGGGACGAGGCAGCCAGCAGAGGGCGCCGCACGCAAUUUGUGUUUCAGAAGGCGCUGCGCUCCCUCCGGCGGUAUCCACUGCCCCUGCGCAGCGGCAAGGAAGCUAAGAUCCUCCAGCACUUCGGAGACGGGCUUUGCCGUAUGUUGGACCGGCGACUGCAGCAGCACAAAGCAUCAGCUGGUGACCAUGCCCCGUAUUCACCGUCCGGAACCAAGAGCCCAGUCCGGGAAAGGCCACCUGCUGAAGUCCAGGACUCUUCCAUACCAGUCCCAACCCAGCUUAAAGCAGGAGGGCCUGGCAGCUAUUGGCCAACUCGGCACUCGGGAGCACGUGCAGUCCUGGUGCAGCUGUACAGGGAGCACCUGAAUCCUAGCGGCCAGGGCUUCCUCACCAAGGGGGAGCUGUUGAAGAGGUGUGACCCAAAGGUUCCCAGGGUGGCCUCUGGAAGUGCUCGCCCCUGGCCAGCCCUCCGUUCCCUCCUCCACAGGAACCUGGUCCUCAGGACACACCAGCCAGCUAGGUACUCACUGACCCCGCAGGGUCUGGAGCUGGCCCAGAAGCUGGCUGACUCAGAGGGCCUGAGCUUGCUGAAUGUGGGCAGCGGGCCGGAGGAGCCCCCUGGGGAGGAGCCUGAAGUGCCAGAAGCGGCUUCCGCUGAGCUUGGUGCCAGUGAAGGGAGCGCCCAACAGCCCCCGCUGGAGCUGGGGCCUGGAGAGUACAGGGUGUUGUUGUGUGUGGACGUCGGCGAGACCAAGGGGGCGGGCCAUAGGCCAGACCUGCUCCGAGAGCUGCAGCGGCUGCACGUGACACACAUGGUACGCAAGCUGCACGUUGGGGACUUCGUGUGGGUAGCCCAAGAGACCAGUCCCAGAGACCCAGCACGACCUGCAGAGCUAGUCCUGGACCACAUCGUGGAGCGAAAGCGGCUGGAUGACCUGUGCAGCAGCAUCAUCGAUGGCCGCUUCCGGGAGCAGAAGUUCCGGCUGAAGCGCUGUGGCCUGGGGCGCCGAGUGUACCUGGUGGAGGAGCACGGUUCGGCACACAGCCUCAGCCUCCCUGAGAGCACACUGCUGCAGGCUGUCAUCAACACCCAGGUCAUCGACGGCUUCUUUGUGAAGCGCACAGCGGACAUUAAGGAGUCGGCUGCCUACCUGGCCCUGUUGACACGGGGCCUGCAGAGGCUCUACCAGCGACUUCAACACGGGAGCCAUGAAGAACAAGGCCCAGUCUGUGCGGGAUGUGUUUGCCAGGCAGCUCAUGCAGGUGCGCGGGGUGAGCGGGGAGAAGGCAGCAGCCCUGGUGGCCCGGUACAGCACCCCUGCCAGCUUACUGGCCGCCUAUGAUGCCUGUGCCACCCCGAAGGAACAGGAAAUGCUGCUGAGCACCAUCAAGUGUGGGCCGCUGCAGAGGAAUCUGGGGCCCGUUCUGAGCAGGACCUUGUCACAGCUCUACUGCAGCUAUGGCCCCCUGACCUGAGCUAUGUAUGCCGCAAGACAGACCCCCAUCUUCCCAGACUACCCAGUCUUUUAACCAGAAUCUUUGGGCUACAGUAAAUCUUAAGUGUUUGCAUUUCUACGUGUUAGAAGGGGAUACCAGGCCCCAGGGGUCUUGAAAAAUAUCUAGGAACUGGGGAGACUGUCAUGUCCAGUUUUUAAAACUGAGCUCCUCGGGACCCUUGGGGUUCCCUUUCAGAGCACUGCUAGGGAGACGGAGUCAGUGAGGCAUUGCAACGUUGAAUCGAGUUCAUGUCAUCAGAGUUCUCUGAUCAAAUA